rnacentral:rRNA from 1 species
CCUACGGGUGGCAGCAGUGGGGAAUAUUGCACAAUGGGCGAAAGCCUGAUGCAGCAACGCCGCGUGAGCGAUGAAGGCCUUCGGGUCGUAAAGCACUGUCCUCAAGGAAGAUAAUGACGGUACUUCAGGAGGAAGCCCCGGCUAACUCCGUGCAAGCAGCCGCGGUAAUACGUAGGGUGCUAGCGUUAUCCGGAAUUACUGGGCGUAAGGGGUGCGUAGGUGGUUUCUUAAGUCAGAGGUGAUAGGAUACGGCUCAACCGUAGUAAGCCUUUGAAACUGGGAAACUUGAGUGCAGGAGAGGGGAGUGGAAUUCCUGGUGUAGCGGUGAAAGGCGUAGAUAUUAGGAGGAACACCAGUGGCGAAGGCGGCUCUCUGGACUGUAACUGACACUGAGGCACGAAAGCGUGGGGAGCAAACAGGAUUAGAUACCCCGGUAGUC